UCGUGAGGCAUCAUGGGAUACAAGUCGUGAUCAAAGUCGAUCAGAAUUGUCACAUGACUGUAUGAUACGUCGCAUUCUGAGUUCAAAAUUAUAUUUGUAGUCAGUUACAAAACAUUUUACUCAGAAAUUCUGCGAUCUGAAUCCGGCUUGAAAGUGGCUGAAGGGGACGUACCGACGUACGACGACCCAAUGCGGGAGUUUGUGAAUGAAGUAUGCAACGCUUCUGAGCCUUCUACGAAUUUUGACUGCCGGUAGUACACGUAGAUAGUCAUGUUGCUUCUUUUUUCUUCUUCUUUUUCCGAUUUCUUGAUUACAGCAAAAAGCUGUCGUGCUUGUUAACCAGUGCGAAAUCCUAUUCCAACGGAACGUCCCUCUUGUGGACCAUGUGAUCCAAGCGUGCCUAUGGUCAACGCAUGUGCAUGCAUUCCACAUUUCUGAUGCCCGGUUUGUGUUUUUGCUUCCUACAAUGAAAAAGUUUGUAUAAUUUUCAAAGAUUCGUGCAAGGGUAUAAAGCAUAUGUUGUGAAAUAUUGUUUGCUGCCAUAAUCACUGAGGUUCGCAGUCUAGCAUCAGUUAGCAGGUGAGGGGCGUCCUUCCUUUUGGCUCGCUUGUGGUGAUGCGAGUGAAAACAGAUCGAAAAGGAUGUAAUAACUUUGAUGAUAGAUUACAAACCAAGUUGGCCACAAUAUGCUACUGAUCAUGCAUGAAUAGUGUGUUACUUUGUCGGGACUUUUUUUUUUUAUCACGAUUGCGAACCCAAAGCUGGGAUGGAUAGACUUCGAGCUUACCAGGAAAAUCCCCAGCUGAGCACACAAGUUCCCACUUGACAUGCCGAUGUGCACAGCAGCAGACAAUGUCUCUCAUACACAGGACUGGCGUCUACGGGGGAGCAACGUCCCCCCUCCCCCCGUGUCCGCUUAAAGGAGCGCAAAAAAAGACACCUUGCGGGGAGCAAGAAUACAAGGGGAUGCAAAUUUCCCACUUGUACCCCCGGAGGCGAACAGUGAACGCCGGAACUGCUCGUACACUACCCCUGACCCCACUCCUAAAGAAAGAAAAAGAUUUUCCAAAUGGCAAUAGGUGGUACAUUACAGUUACACAGAAAACACAGAAUGGAACGUACACAUCAUAGACUUUUAUGUGACAGUCAUCCGAUGCUGUGACCAACAUCUGGGAAUCUGGUGAGAACGUCAAUGACCUGAUGGGCAUUGCAUGGCCUGUAAGGAGGAAACAGGUUUGUGAACCUUCAGAGAUCUGCAAAUGGUUCCACAAAACUCCACUGCCACCUUAAGUUCUCCUGCAUUUUUCUUUUUCUCUUGGGCCUCAUCUUAUAUUUACAAGAAGAGGGCUUUGGAAUAAGCAGCACAGAAAAGAAAAUUUUACAAAGCAUUAUGGUUUCUGAAAUUCAACCACUGUGUAGUGUAGUGAGGUUCGCUACACUUAAUAUCUCAUUAAUUUGGGAUCGCACAUUCAAAAGCUUUUGAGUGGGAGGUUAGGUUACGACUGGAAUUACAUCCCGAAAGACAUUUUUAUGCAUGAAAAUUUCAAGAAGUUCAAAAUUAAGUGUUCAAAUGUGCGUUGAAAGUAUUUGUGUGCGACUGGAGAGCAUAAUAUAAGGGUGGCUGAUCUACUACAAUCUUUAAAGCAUCAGUAUGGUAUUUCUAAAGCAAAUACAUAAAAAAAAUAUGCAUGGGCAAAGUCCCACUAUGCUUGUGCCACACACAUUCAGCAAGAUUCAACAGAAUAAGUGCUUCAGUGUGUAGUUCCACACUGGUAAGUUGAAGCAGACCCCAUCAUUAGUGCUUUGAACUUCCAAACUCUUAGCACAAUCCCAACAUUGAAAACCAUGCAGGAGAUAACAUCACUUCACCCUUCCCAUAGCAUACCCACCUCACUUCAACCUCACAUGCACUCCAGAUCUUCAAUCUAAUCUCAUCCCCAUAUAUGAUCUGGAAACUUCCUACCUUAACUCACUUUUCUCUCAUUUCAUCUCAAUUGUGCUUGGUGGAGGGAAGUCAAUAUCACCCUCAUCUGGGAUCUAACGAGGUAGCAGGUCUAGAGAAAGCUUCUUACAAACGCUCUCAAAUCAUGACAAAAAUGUAGUACGAGGCUGAUCAAGCUUGAACUUGCCUUCUAGUGUAUGUACCAGCUUCCCUGUAGAGAUGUCAAAUACAUUGAUGAUGCCAUCGAUGGCUCCACUGGCAAUAUAUUUUCCAUCAGGACUCUAAACAAAACUUUUUUAGUUUACACUCACACUUUUUUCUUUUUAUGGAUAUCUAUUUGAGUUGGCAUUAAGCAAACACAAAAAAGUGUCACACAUUAAUGUUAUAAGAUAAGCUUGUAUUGGCAAACGAAGACCACAGAAAAACAGAUAGUGCUAUGAGUACUUGGAAACCAUUCAACAGUAUGAAAAAGAUUUUUUUAAAUAAAGGAAAGAAAGACGUGCAAAACAAAAACUGACAAUGUAGUAGUCUCCUUAGAUGUGGUUCGUUACACUUAUUGCACUGCAGGCCAGAGUAUUGAAGAGAAAAUAAUUAUUUUCCUAUGUGCUGCCAAACUUUCUAAGUACAGUAUGUACGACCUAUUUGAAACACUAUGUGGGUUUCUAGUGGUCUAAUACAGGGUGAAAAAGAGUCAUCGACAAUGUCGUUCUUUGCUUGAACACGACCUAUAAAGAAAUUACAAAUAUACACUUACAAAUGCAAUACUCAGUGUGAAUUUUCCUGUUGUGUCAAGGGAUGACUCCAGUUUGCAGCUUUCUACGCCAUAAAGGUUUAUCUUUCCAGAAUGAGAUCCCGAAGCCAGGAACCGAGAAUCUGGUGAGAAGGUGACUGACCAGGCAUCCACUUUGAACAAUUUUGAGAAGAAUGGCAUCAUAGUAUGUGCAGUCUCUCAUCCGUCUGGCAACAUUGCUCCUCCAAGCUCGAUUUCAGUCUCCUCACGACAGCUGCUGGCAACUUCCAACGUGAUGUGGAGAGUGGAGAGCUCGAGGGUGCAUCCACUGGUGCUAGGAGAUAGACACCAGAACUCAUGGUGAUGCCACCUACUCUUCGAGAACCCGGAACUAUCAAGUUCUGCGAGUUAUUUCGAAACUUCGUAGAAGCCCGUAAUGUUCGUUGAUGGUAUCAAUAUUUUGUGUACUGAGCCUUUGAGUUAGGUUAAUUUAGAAUACAGAAUAAAGGAAAUAACAUUUUUUAGUCUGUA